rnacentral:rRNA from 1 species
GAUGAACGCUGGCGGCGUGCCUAAUACAUGCAAGUCGAGCGAACGGACGAGAAGCUUGCUUCUCUGAUGUUAGCGGCGGACGGGUGAGUAACACGUGGAUAACCUACCUAUAAGACUGGGAUAACUUCGGGAAACCGGAGCUAAUACCGGAUGAUAUUGUGAACCGCAUGGUUCAAAAGUGAAAGACGGUCUUGCUGUCACUUAUAGAUGGAUCCGCGCUGCAUUAGCUAGUUGGUAAGGUAACGGCUUACCAAGGGAACGAUGCAUAGCCGACCUGAGAGGGUGAUCGGCCACACUGGAACUGAGACACGGUCCAGACUCCUACGGGAGGCAGCAGUAGGGAAUCUUCCGCAAUGGGCGAAAGCCUGACGGAGCAACGCCGCGUGAGUGAUGAAGGUCUUCGGAUCGUAAAACUCUGUUAUUAGGGAAGAACAUAUGUGUAAGUAACUGUGCACAUCUUGACGGUACCUAAUCAGAAAGCCACGGCUAACUACGUG